CUAUAUACCAAACGUCAGUUACUGUUCAUAAGCACUGUUCCUAAGAGCCCGAUUUAAAGUGACGCUUUUGCCUUCUAUGUUUUCUUAAAUUACGUCUCUGACACUAGCAGAUUCAUCCUGCACUUUCCUCUUUCUGGAAGUAUAUCUAUCUGCAGCUACAACAUCUCUACACCGACAUCAACUCUUCCACUUCCGAAAUCAGAUCCUAACAUCACAUAGACGGACAUAAAAGUAGCGAGAGCAUAGAAAUUGAAAUCAGCCGAGACGAAACAGCCCAGAAACGUGAGAAGCAUCCAAGAGAGGUAGAGGGUUUUUAGGCUAUGUAGAAAUCUUAUGGUAAGAACCUUCUUCUCAUGAUCAGACUAAUCGGUGUUGGUUUGGUUGGGAAGAGGUGGGUGCGAAUAUUUGGAUCCACUUUGGGAAGGAGUUUUCAGCAAAAGCAAAAUAAGAAUUGGGUUUCUUUUCUUGCUUGGGUUUAACUUUUCAACAGUUCCAAGAUCCAAAAUUUUGGAGACUCUCAGGGAAAAGGGUUGGGCUGGAAACAAAUAGAACAGAAUUGGGAAAGCCCGCCUCUUUUGACACUUUACUGCACAUUUCCUGCUCAAAAUUUCAAACUUGCUACUACUAAGUUUACUCUUUUGAACUCAUCUGAGGUUCCAUCCCUGGGAUGGCAUCGCUGAAUUAGCUAAUGAUUUGAUUCGAGGAAUCCUUUGUGAAGGUCCUUCUAAAAGGCUCACCGCUCAUCAGGUUUUAGGUAGUUUAAGUAACGAUUGCAGUAACAGAGUUUGCUCAAAUAAACACGUUCCUUGAGAAUCUGAGAUCAUUCUAGCUAGCAUCUGUAAAUAUGAUACGAGUUAAAGUUGAAUGUUUGUAGUAUGAGCUUUGAUAUGAAUUUUUUUUAAGGGUAUCAUACCAUAUCCCAGUAUACUUCCAAGUUUGGAAUACAAGUCUUCUUUCAUUUGUUUCUUUCUUCA